ACCGAUAGCGAACAAGUACAGUGAUGGAAAGAUGAAAAGCACUUUGAAAAGAGAGUGAAAAAGUACGUGAAAUUGUUGAAAGGGAAGGGCUUGCAAGCAGACACUAACCUCGGUUGGGCCAGNAUCGGAGUGGGGGGAGACAAAAAAGAAAAGGAAUGUAACUCUUUCGAGUAUUAUAGCCNNUUUCUCAUAUCUCNNCCNNNUUCCGAGGCCNGCGAUUCUUCAAGGAUGCUGGNGUAAUGG
rnacentral:rRNA from 1 species